CCUACGGGUGGCUGCAGUGAGGAAUAUUGGUCAAUGGGAGAGAUCCUGAACCAGCCACGCCGCGUGAGGGAAGACGGCCCUAUGGGUUGUAAACCUCUUUUGUCGGAGAACAAAACCCGGGACGAGUCCCGGACUGCGUGUAUCCGAACUAAGAGCAACGGCAAACUCCGUGCCAGCAGCCGCGGUAAUACUGGGGAUGCGCGCGUUAUCCGGAUUUAUUGGGUUGAAGGGGGGCGUAGGGGGUCUGUUAAGUCAGCGGUAAAAUCGCGGGGCUCAACCACGUCGAGCCGUUGAAACUGGCAGACUUGAGUUGUCGAGAAGGACGCGGAAUGCGCGGUGUAGCGGUGGAAUGCGUAGAUAUCGCGCAGAACUCCGAGUGCGAAGGCGGCGUACCGGCGCCAGACUGACGCUGAGGCACGAAAGCGUGGGGAUCGAACAGGAUUAGAUACCCGAGUAGUC
rnacentral:rRNA from 1 species